rnacentral:lncRNA from 1 species
AAGGACAGAGAAAGCUGAUUGUGUCAGGAGGCCUUUUCCCCGUGCAAGACCUGAUGAGUCUUUGUUUAUUCUACUUCUCCCCAGAUAAGAUUCAUUAUUGAUUUUGACAGCAUACGAACGGGUCAUGCAAUGGCCAAACUUGACGAUUGUUGGAACAUGAAUUACGUAAUCAUGCUGACGUACGCACCUCCCAUAGCUGAGGCUUCAAAUUCUGGUCGUCCGA